UCCCCGUCAAUUCAUUUGAGUUUUAGCCUUGCGGCCGUACUCCCCAGGCCGGGGCGCUUAAUGCGUUAGCUGCGGCACGGAACCCGUGGAAUGAGCCCCACACCUAGCGCCCAACGUUUACGGCAUGGACUACCAGGGUAUCUAAUCCUGUUCGCUACCCAUGCUUUCGCUCCUCAGCGUCAGUAUCGGCCCAGAGACCCGCCUUCGCCACCGGUGUUCCUCCUGAUAUCUGCGCAUUUCACCGCUACACCAGGAAUUCCAGUCUCCCCUGCCGAACUCAAGUGAUGCCCGUAUCGACCGCACGCCCAGAGUUGAGCCCCAGGUUUUCACGGCCGACGCGACACACCGCCUACGAGCUCUUUACGCCCAAUAAUUCCGGACAACGCUCGCACCCUACGUAUUACCGCGGCUGCUGGCACGUAGUUGGCCGGUGCUUCUUCUCGACCUACCGUCACCCACACCAGAAAUGCGAGCUUCGUCGAUCGCGAAAGAGGUUUACAACCCGAAGGCCGUCAUCCCCCACGCGGCGUUGCUGCGUCAGGCUUCCGCCCAUUGCGCAAGAUUCCCCACUGCUGCCUCCCGUAGGAGUCUGGGCCGUGUCUCAGUCCCAGUGUGGCCGAUCACCCUCUCAGGCCGGCUAUCCGUCGUCGCCUUGGUAGGCCAUCACCCCACCAACAAGCUGAUAGACCGCGGGCCCAUCCCCCACCGAACCAAAUCUUUCCACACCCCCACAUGCGUGGAAGUGUCCCAUCCGGUAUUAGACCCAGUUUCCCAGGCUUAUCCCGAAGUGGAGGGCAGGUCACCCACGUGUUACUCACCCGUUCGCCGCUCGUGUACCCCGAAAGGCCUUACCGCUCGACUUGCAUGUGUUAAGCACGCCGCCAGCGUUCGUCCUGAGCCAGAAUCAAACUCU
rnacentral:rRNA from 1 species